CAGCCUACGGGAGGCAGCAGUGAGGAAUAUUGGUCAAUGGUCGGGAGACUGAACCAGCCAAGCCGCGUGAGGGAUGAAGGUACAGAGUAUCGUAAACCUCUUUUGUCAGGGAACAAAGGCGGGGACGUGUCCCCGGAUGAGUGCACCUGAAGAAAGAGCAUCGGCUAACUCCGUGCCAGCAGCCGCGGUAAUACGGAGGAUGCGAGCGUUGUCCGGAAUUACUGGGUGUAAAGGGAGCGUAGGCGGGACGGCAAGGCAGAUGUGAAAACUGAGGGCUCAACUU
rnacentral:rRNA from 1 species